rnacentral:rRNA from 1 species
UAAUUGAAGAGUUUGAUCAUGGCUCAGAUUGAACGCUGGCGGCAGGCCUAACACAUGCAAGUCGAGCGGCAGCGACAUAAACAAACCUUCGGGGGCGUCUAUGGGCGGCGAGCGGCGGACGGGUGAGUAAUGCCUGGGAAAUUGCCCUGAUGUGGGGGAUAACCAUUGGAAACGAUGGCUAAUACCGCAUAAUAGCUUCGGCUCAAAGAGGGGGACCUUCGGGCCUCUCGC